rnacentral:rRNA from 1 species
UACGUAGGGGGCAAGCGUUGUCCGGAUUUAUUGGGCGUAAAGAGCGUGUAGGCGGCCAUACAGGUCCGUUGUGAAAACUCGAGGCUUAACCUCGAGACGUCGAUGGAAACCGUAUGGCUAGAGUCCGGAAGAGGAGAGUGGAAUUCCUGGUGUAGCGGUGAAAUGCGCAGAUAUCAGGAGGAACACCGGUGGCGAAGGCGGCUUGCUGGGCCUUACCUGACGCUGAGGAGCGAAAGCGUGGGGAGCGAACAGG